GGAUAAUUUACAAACCUUACCGAAUGCAAUUGGAGGGCAAGUCUGGUGCCAGCAGCCGCGGUAAUUCCAGCUCCAAUAGCGUAUAUUAAAAGUUGUUGCAGUUAAAAAGCUCGUAGUUGAAGUUCUGAUUGCUCAGGUUUCCAGCCUUAGGCGGAGAUACUGACAGUCAUCCGCUUGCAAACAUAUGUUCGAUCUUCACCGGUUGGCUAUGUGAGUAAGCACUUUUACCUUGAGAAAAACAGAGUGUUCCAGGCAGGUUUGUCCGGGAUGCAUUAGCAUGGAAUAAUAGAACAUGACUGAAGUCGAUUUAUUGGUUUAAGGCUUUAGUAAUGAUUAAUAGGAACAGUCGGGGGCAUUCGUACUCAGCAGUCAGAGGUGAAAUUCUAAGAUUUGCUGAAGACGAACUAAUGCGAAAGCAUUGCCAAGGAUGUUUUCUAUUAAUCAAGAACGAAAGUUAGGGGAUCAAAGACGAUCAGAUACCGUCCUAGUCUUAACUAUAAACUAUGCCGACUCGGA
rnacentral:rRNA from 1 species